ensembl:lncRNA
UCUCCACACCGUUCUGUUGUUGGGCUGCUUUUUAACGUAAUUAAUUACCCAUUUUUGGAAGGAAAACUAAUACAUUUUGCAGAUCAUAUUUCAUAGACAUUUGUAAAUACGGGACAGUUACUGACGGUAUAAUAAUCACUUGUUUUUUUCGGAACGAUGCGUGAAGGCUUGAGUUACUACAUGUAGUAGAUAUGUCUGAUAGAGAGCUGUUGUUGUAAUGCAGUGAUGGCGAGGGACAUGAAUUCUCAUGGGAACGUCAUGUAGCAUCAUGUCUGGAAAUACAGAUGUAUGCAGACAUUCUAGAAUACUUUCUAUCAUGUUGGUGUAACAAUGAAAGCAUUCCUCCCAUUUGUUUUCUAUCAUGUUGGUGUAACAAUGAAAGCAUUCCUCCCAUUUGUUUUCUAUCAUGUUGGUGUAACAAUGAAAGCAUUCCUCCCAUUUGUUUUCUAUCAUGUUGGUGUAACAAUGAAAGCAUUCCUCCCAUUUGUUUUCUAUCAUGUUGGUGUAACAAUGAAAGCAUUCCUCCCAUUUGUUUUCUAUCAUGUCGGUGUAACAAUGAAAGCAUUCCUCCCAUUUGUUUUCUAUCAUGUCGGUGUAACAAUGAAAGCAUUCCUCCCAUUUGUUUUCUAUCAUGUUGGUGUAACAAUGAAAGCAUUCCUCCCAUUUGUUUUCUAUCAUGUCGGUGUAACAAUGAAAGCAUUCCUCCCAUUUGUUUUCUAUCCUGUUGGUGUAACAAUGAAAGCAUUCCUCCAUUUGUUUUGGCGUUCAUUCUCUUCAGAUCUGAAAGACAUGUUUAAAUUGGUAUUUUCUCCUUAUCGACGUACUUUGUACAAGCAGCUUGUUACCUUGUCUUCCGGCUACUUUUUGUCAACUCUGUAACAUAUCGAACUGAUCAGUGUGAACUGAUAUUGUAUAAAAAUUAAAUUACUUUUGUCUUUUUUUUAAAUCCAGUGUGGGUG